rnacentral:miRNA from 1 species
CACCAGGGCAGAGUAGAGGUGUG